rnacentral:rRNA from 1 species
AGGCGAGGCCGAGAGGCGUAGUCGAUGACAAGCAGGUUGAGAUUCCUGCACUAGUUUAUUUUGUUUAAGCGAUGGAGGGACGCAGGAGGCUAAGGAAAGCGCACGGCUGGAAAUGUGCGCCCAAGCAGCAAGUCUGACAGCGAGUGAAAUGCUUGCAGUCUUAAGGACAAGCUGUGAUGGGGAGCGAAAUUAUAGUAGCGAAGUUCCUGAUGUCACACUGCCAAGAAAAGCUUCUAGUGAGAAAUAAACUACCCGUACCGCAAACCGACACAGGUAGUCGAGGAGAGUAUCCUCAGGUGAGCGAGCGAACUCUCGUUAAGGAACUCGGCAAAAUGACCCCGUAACUUCGGAAGAAGGGGUGCUGACCGCAAGGUCAGCCGCAGUGAAUAGGCCCAAACAACUGUUUAUCAAAAACACAGGUCUCUGCUAAAUCGUAAGAUGAUGUAUAGGGGCUGACGCCUGCCCGGUGCUGGAAGGUUAAGAGGAUGAGUUAGCGCAAGCGAAGCCCAGAAUUGAAGCCCCAGUAAACGGCGGCCGUAACUAUAACGGUCCUAAGGUAGCGAAAUUCCUUGUCGGGUAAGUUCCGACCCGCACGAAAGGCGUAAUGAUUUGGGCACUGUCUCAACGAGAGACUCGGUGAAAUUAUAGUACCCGUGAAGAUGCGGGUUACCCGCGACAGGACGGAAAGACCCCAUGGAGCUUUACUGUAGCUUGAUAUUGAGUGUUUGUACCGCUUGUACAGGAUAGGUAGGAGCCGUAGAGAUCGGAACGCUAGUUUCGAUGGAGGCGUUGGUGGGAUACUACCCUAGCUGUAUGAACACUCUAACCCGCGCCACUAAUCGUGGCGGGAGACAGUGUCAGGUAGGCAGUUUGACUGGGGCGGUCGCCUCCUAAAAUGUAACGGAGGCGCCCAAAGGUUCCCUCAGAAUGGUUGGAAAUCAUUCGCAGAGUGUAAAGGUAUAAGGGAGCUUGACUGCGAGACUGACAAGUCGAGCAGGGACGAAAGUCGGGCUUAGUGAUCCGGUGGUUCCGUAUGGAAGGGCCAUCGCUCAACGGAUAAAAGCUACCCUGGGGAUAACAGGCUUAUCUCCCCCAAGAGUCCACAUCGACGGGGAGGUUUGGCACCUCGAUGUCGGCUCAUCGCAUCCUGGGGCUGUAGU